rnacentral:lncRNA from 1 species
AUUUGAUAUCGCGAAAAAACGUUUGAAGCAUUAGGGGCACUUUAAACCGGGUGAUGCAGUAGAGAUCAUCAUAUCGUCACAUAAAUUUGGUUCAAAUAAGAAAAUAACUAGCAGAUUAAUACAGCAAGUGAGUAACAUUUUCAUUUCAUUGCUCUAUAAUGUUAAUACAUUUCUUAAAGGUUCAUUCACAGGCGGCCCAAUCUCUGAACGUCCUAUACAUUUUGAAUAUUUAAUCUUUAUAAUAUUUCAAAAUAACAAAAUAAUUCAAAAAAUAUCAGCAGUAUAUGUAAAAAUAUAUGCAUGAUGGGAUAUAUGGGAUGCAUUCGGAAUGCAUUUGUUGUGUUUACGAGUUUAGAUGAUGCGAUUGCUUUACGUUUUCGUCGUACUUGAACGGUCGUCAGUACUGGCACUGAACGACAUGCCCAUAGGAUAUGAAUAACUACAAGGCUAGUCACUUAUCUGAUAUACUCUCCGACAUCGAGUCCAAUAUUUCUGCUCAAAAUCGUUGCAGAGUAAUAAAUUUCACAUCGCCUAAUAGUAUGAACGUGCCUCUUUCGAAAGAACAUGGUUUGUUCACCAUUAUUUUUUGGGCAAUUCUCUUGACACGUUGUACGACGAACUUUGUUUAUCCAAAAUUCAAAAUUCAAUUUUCGAAAGAAGCUAUGGUUUACCCCACGAUCGUUGCCAUAAGAGCGGUUAAGCAACCUGGCUUCCUCGUUCAAAAACACUCCAUCGGGUGGAGGGGGGUGGGAGGAGCUGGAGUGGAAUGAGGGGGGGGGAGGCUUUCAAAGCAACACGAUAAAACACGCGUUAUAAAUAAAAAUGAUUACUUUAUCAUGCCGUAUUCGACACUAAACAAGUAUUGAAUCAGUCCUAUUUUUAGAAGCGUGAGAAACUUAGAAAUAUCUUGUUAUGAAUUUUUUGCAUAUUUUUUAGAACAAAAAUUUACUUAUUAUAACAUUUAGCUUUUGAAAAUCAUACCAAUCUUUAUGAAUUUUAAAGCAUUAAACUUGGCUGCGUUCAACCGUAUGUUUUUCUAUGUUUUUCUAUGUUUUUUUUUUCUUUUUUACGUUGGUAAAACGUUGUGACUUUACGUGCGCUGGACGUGACUUUGUCGACUCCAGGGGACGUUGUCAUAACGUAGUCAGACAACGUAAAAAGAAUAUUCUCACAACGUUUUUAGAACGUUCCGCUUAUGCGUGAAAAAAAAACGUUGUGACUUUACGUGCGCUGGACGUGAUUUUGUCGACUCCAGUGGACGUUGUCACAACGUAGUAAAACAACGUAAGAAAAAACCUUAUCACAAUGUUCAUGAAACGUGAAUUUAUUCAAGCAAUGCGUUCAUACAACUUUUAUAUAACGACAUAUAUUUAUCAGUUGUAGCGAAACGUUCAUAUAUAAAAAUACAUACAGACAAAUACAUAAAUCAUAAUACAAAAUAAUAUUAUUUAAGUAAAGAUAAAAGAUAAAGGAGAAAACAGUACAAGAUAUUUAUGAUAGUAGAAUACAACGAUAUUUGGACAAAGGUAAUAUACUUUAGAGACUAUAGAGGCUAAAGUGAACUUUGUCGCGCAAAAGACUAUAUAUUCUUUUGUCUUAUGAGCUCUCUGCAGUCUGCUCAGUCAGCUGGAACUUAUGUAAAAUUACUUAUAUAAAGUAUUUUCAAUUUUAACCAUGUAUAUAUAAAUGUCGUUUCGCGCGAAGAAAUUCGUUAGUGGAAAACCGGCGUAGAAGAACGUUAUACUUUUGUGCAAUAGGCACGAGUCACUCUUUAUUUUGGCCAUCUUCACUUGCAGACGUAUCGAGUGUAUUCAUUUUACGAGUCAAGCUCGAGCCCAAGUCAAGCUCGAGUCACGAGUCCAAUUCGAGUGAAGCUAAAACUGUAUACAAUCGUCUAUACACACUUCCCAGAAAAAAUCUUUCUCACACCCUCGACACACCUCUGAAUCGACUGUUAUACUUUCUGUUUACCUCAAAAAUGAAGGUUACCAGCCUGUAUGCAAGUUAUAUAUAUAUAUAUAUAUAUAUAUAUAUAUAUAUAUAUAUAUAUAUAUAUAUAUAUAUAUAUAUAUAUAUAUAUAUAUAUAUAUAUAUAUAUAUAUAUAUAUAUAUAUAUAUAUAUACCGUCACCUCAUUAAAAUGAGGUGACGGGGACGUCACGAAAAUCAAAAGCGUGCACAGAGGACUAGGGACUAAUCUACAGACCCUCGGAACAUGGUUGGUCGCGUUGCCGAAUCGCGUUCCGUCUGUGUGGGCCUUAGGCUUGCUACACUUUUUUAAAAAUUAAAGAUUUUCUGAUUUGAAUAUGAAUUUCUGGAGAAUUAUUAUUUGUUUUAAAACAGAGAGUAUCUGAUUGGUAUAACACAAUAACAAGGGAGUUCGGAUUUAAAAAACCUGCUAACUGCCGUUGCUAUGGUAACGUUUAAAGUAACUUAACUUAGUUAAAAUUUAAGAAAGUAAUACGUUUCUUUACGUCUAAAAUCAUGGUAUUUCGAUAAUAUUCAAAAAUAAGCUUUGCAAAGCCUGCACAAACGGUUGUCGGCUACCCGCUCGCAAAUUAGGAAUUACCGGAUUUCUCACGAACAGAAUUCCCAUAGUCGUUGUCUCACUUGUCUGUACACUGGCUCGUCCACAGUCCCACAAAUAUAUAGCGGUUCCAUGGCCUUUGCCGUAAAAGGACGCCCAGGCAUAUGGGGAUAAACCAUCUCAUUUCCAUCAUUCAACGCGAAAUAAGCGACUGGGUCGGGUCAGGUUUGUAGAACAAUAAACAACAAGCAACGGUGAGAUUUUUACUUACCUGCAUCAAAUUAAAAUUGGAAAUUAAACAUAAAAAUUGUCAAAUUAACGUAAAAAGCGCAAAAACGAAGUUUAUAGGUUGACUCGAAUUUGACUCGUGACUCGAACUUGACUCGUGACUCGUGCUUGACUCGGGCUCGAACUUGACUCGUGAAAUGGCCUAACUCUAUUAAGAGGAAGCAAAGUUAUCAUAAAGGUUGAAAAUAUGUAUCUAAUUAGUAUUCUUGUUCACAUUUCCUGCAAUAUAUAUUUCAAUGGUUUCAAACAACCAUAAUUUCCUUGUAUUGCAUUGUAUAUAUACGAACACUGUUUAGAUGCAUAGAGUUUUUUAUACGCUGAAUAGAAUGGUGGUAUUUGUGUUCUUGUUGAAGCUAGGGUACGUAAAACCAGAGAUACGGCCAAUGAUAACACCCUGAUAAUGACCAAAUAAGUAAGACCCAAGAAUUGCACCAUAAGCUAAAUUUUCUAUGAUGUAUGCAUAAAAUGUAUUGUUGUAGGAUAGUUAAAUGGUUUAUUGAACUUUAGAACUUACAGCCUUAGAAAAUUUCACAGCUGAAUUACGCUAAGUUUAACAGAUAUAAGAUAUUAAGGAUAUAUGCUAUGAACCCUAUUUACAUUGAAAAAUAUUUAAAAAAUCAAAUCCAUUAUCUAAAAUAUAUAUUAGAAUUGUGCAUGAUAAAACUGUCAUUAAGUCUGUUCGUUUUACACACAGGAAGUUCAAAAUUUCUAUGAUUCCUUAAAAAGUGAUCGUCGAUUUUUAAUGGCGGGAGGAGGUCGUAUAAAUUAUGAUGUGAGUUGCUGGCUAUUUCGUUAAACAACUUCGUUGUUGAUUUUUGUUUUCGAUCGUUCAGUGACAAAAUGUUCUUGGUCUCCAAGACAUCUUUGUAGUGCAUAUCAGGAAUAAUUAUGCAAAAAGCACGUUUUUGAAGUUUUUCUAAGUCAUCGGACAGGGACUGCAUGCGGCAGCGAGUUAUGGAAUACUUCGCUCGCAUACUCGACAACUGGACGAAUACAGGUGACAUAAAACAGGACCAGAUCGUUGGAUGGCAAUUUGGCACGUUUUAAUUGUCUUAGAAAAUAUAACCGUGUUGAUACCUUUUUACAAGUAUUCGAAAUAUGAAUGUUCCAUUUGAGAUCAUUAGAGAUGGUAAGGCCCAGUAGUUUUGUUGAUGUUACAACCUCGACAUUUUUACCAUUAAUAGUUACGGGCUCAAAUACUUUGUUAGGCCUAGAAAAGUUUAUCCGGAGCGUAUUGUAUUUGGUUUCUAUUGUGUAUACUAGCCAAUUUGCAAGGGGACUAAUGCCACACCUUUGAUGGGCAUGUUUUUACCACUAACAGUUCUGAUAGUUUGUUGAAAUGUUUUACUGCUAGGCAUUUUCUUGCAAUUAGGGAAUUUGUUAAAUAACUUCUCACUAAUCGUGGUGACAGAUACUCCAGUGUCGCAUAAAAGAGACGUAGGUAUACCACUUACUUGACCUUGCGGCAAGAAUGGACAAUUAUUGCGAAACUUAAAUGUAAUAGAAUUAACAGCAUGCACAGAGGUUUUUUGGACAGGAAAUGACAGGCCUUCCAGGUCAGAAUUCAAAACAACUACUGUACAUUUGGUUCUUUACUUGUUUCUUUAAUAACUUCAUAUGACAGGUCUACUAGAUCAUUACAGACUGGUACAUCUAUUGUAUGAGGUAAGAGACAUUGUUCUCUAGCACUAAAUUUGCCUUGCUGUGGUACAUUUACACAUGGUGACGCGGUCACCUUAAAACUAUUUGUACACAUUUGACUCACUGAGUUUACAUUUGUUGUCAAUGUAUCCCAAUUUAUCUUCGGUAGGCCAGAGGAGUUAUUCUCCUUACAUAACACGCUAAGUGACUUGUAUGCAGGUAAACUAAAAUUAAUAUCUACAAGAUCAGGUUGUAUAUAUUCACACUUGUUUCAACAGGAAAUGGGGGGGUUGUCAAAAUCAUGCUGCCCUUUUACUUCUAUAUUAAUUAACAUAUCUGAUACAUAAUUAAAUUUGUCAGGUAAUAGGCCGUGGGCUGUUGGCCAAAAUUAUUUCAGUUCGUGACCCCCAUGUGAGAAAUACUUGGUUUAGGAGUUAUUUGAAAGAUAUAUAGGUACAUCACUACCAAAAAAAGUUCCCAAGCAAAAAAGUUGCCCAAUCCCGAGAAAAUGGGUGAUCAAUGAUUAUCCUCUAUUAAAUUGUAUUACAGCAAAAAUAUGAGAAAUUCUGUAUUCAAUUACAAUAAAAAUGACUUGCAUCAUCGGAAAACGUACAAAAAACCGCAUACAAGACUUUUAAACAGUUAUUUGAUUUUUCGAAUAGUCUUUGAGUUAUUGCUGUUUUAAAUGUGAAAAUUGGACCAAAAUGUCGCAAUAAGGACUGGGUACUAGGUCAAAAACGCGUUUUGACAGCGUAUAACUCGAAAACAAUUAUAGAUAUAAAAAACACUGUUUAAAUGUCUUAUAUGUAGGUUUUUGUAAGCUUUCUGAUAAUGCAAGUUAUUUUUGUUGUAAUUGAAUACAAAAUUUUACAUUUUCUUGCUGUAAUACAAUUUAAUAGAGGAUAAUCACUGAUCACCCAUUUUCUCGGUGUUGGGCAGGUUUUUUGCUUGGGAACUUUUUGUGGUAAUUAAGCAUCUAUGGUUCUAUAAAUUGAACCACAGAAAAUCUAUUUCCCAGAUUAGUGCCACGAAAUUGCUUUUCUAGGCACUUUUUUGCACAACAGCCCACGGCCUAUAAAUUUUCAACAACAUUUUCAUUUAACAUUUCGAGAUAUUUGAAUUCCUCAAAUUCUUUAAAAAUUAUUGCUUCCCUAUCGUCCCGGUAUAAAGAAGCCGCCAUUAGUUUCCCGAUUCCGGAUUAAAUGGGUUGUUGGCAGUUCGCCCUUGUUGAGGAUUGAAUGUGGGAGCAUCAGGAUAAAUGUUUGAAUUAAAUUGGGGUCUCUGUACAGACCGGUGUUGCAUGCCAGGACGAGUAUAUGAAUUAAACUGAGAUGAAAUUUUAUGUUGCAUGCUAGAACGUAUGUGAAAAUUAUGAUGAAAAACUUGUGGAAGCUGAUGUUGUAUUCCUCCAGCUCAACAGUUACGAGCAAUAUGGCCAACUUUAUUACAUUUGUUGCAUAUGGGUAAGCCAUCAGUUGUACGAUGGUUACGGUUAGAAGGAACGCCAGAACUUGAUGGGCGGUUUGUUUUGGUGAGGUAUUGUGUUUGUCGCCGCACCUCCUCUCGAACUAAUUUUGCUAUGUUGAGUCGUGCAUUGAGCCAGGUGGUGAGGGAUGGCGUGAACGGUAUUGACCAUUGUUGGAACUAUUCACGACCAGUUAUCCCAAGUUUCAAAUAAUUAACUAUAAGCAGACAUAUUUGGCUCUUGGUUUUGCUGUUUGUUGCUUGCAAGUGCCCCUAAACUUUUAAUAACUGACUGAAGCUGGGAUUCAAAUUUAUACUGUGCCAAUUUAGGAGUACUCACUGAAACAGCUUCUUUAAGAUGAGCAAAGUUUUCUGCCUCUGCCAGAGUUUUUGGCUGUCCUAAUAUAACAUGGCCUUUCAAAUCUGGAUGAAGGCCCUGAAGAAAAUAAUGCAUGACUUCAUUGUCACUUAAGCUUAAGCGCUUGCAUAGCCGCCUAAUUUCUGAUGCAUAAUUAGCUAAAGACUCAGUUUCAUUUUGCUUUCUUGAUGAUAAUUGUUGACGCAAAAGCCAAAGUGAUGCCGGGUUACUAAACUGUUCUUUUAGUGCAUUAAUUAAAGCAACAUAACUCUCAAAACUAAUAUUAAGACUAGCAUAUCAAGAACCAGCAUUACCCUGUAAGUAAAGGGGUAGGGCCCGUAGACGCUGUUUAGAAUCCUACCCACAGAAAUUAGAGUACCGUUCAAAGUGGGUAAGAAAUUCUGUAAGGUCAUUUGUCGGUUUACCAAAAAAAGGUGUGGGAUGGAGAGCAGGGCCCACCUGUAAAUAUUUUGUGAUAUUAGUGUUGCCAAUUGGGCUUGUUGUUGUUCAUGUAAUGUCAGAAAGUCAGUUUGGCUGCGAAUACCCUUUUCAGUACUUUCAGCGAGUUGUUCUUGGCUUUGCUGAUUUGUUCUUGUAGAAUUAUCAAUAAAAUUUAACAGUUCCGACAACUUAUUCAUAGCUCAGUCUGCUCAGCCAUACCCACGCUAGUAUAUAUAGUCUACUGAUUCCCGCAAUGAACUAUCAGCACGACUGCGACUGCGAGUAAUCGGACCGGACACAAUGAAACGUUUGUAUAACUGUGGUGAAUAAUAUAACUAAAUGUCUACAUUUAAUACACAUGAAAGGACAAGAAACAUAGGACGAGAAACAACGUAUUAUAUUAACAGCACUAACAACAACUAUAAUACUCUUACACUCGCUAUGAUUUUAGUAUGAGGAAAAAGAAAUUUAAUUUUCUGACUCAACACGCGGUUCGUAGUCGAUUUCAACUAGCCAAGCAAAUGUUAAGGAUAAAGUAAAUAUCGUGUACCUCAAGUUAUAUAGCUUUGCGUCUGACGUCGCGCGGAGUACAUGACUUUUGCUGUUCUUUCAGCGUCGUGUACUCGUGUGUCCAAACGUCGUCAAAAAUUUUGAUAAAGCCCUUUCAAAAUACUGUGUGUUUGAUUUAUUUUCUGCCAUAAAGCAUGUUAAACAAAAGAAACUCGAAGAAAUUCGACAAUACUAUUACGAUAAUCACAAUGGAAUUUGAAAAUUACGGGAACCACUGAGUAUUUUAAUAAAAUAUAAAACAACGGUAACCGAGCUAUUUAUAAAAUAUUGUUUAUGUGAACUUGCAACCAAUCAAAAUCUUUCAUGAUGCUGAUCAACCAUAGUCUUUCGAGACAUGGUCUGGAAACUCAGUAAAUUUCAAAGCGGUUAUAAUGAGCUGGGAUUUUAUGUUGAGCCGUACCUUACACCGUGCACAUCCUUUGUUUUAGGUUUAUUAAUAUUUAAAUAGCAUGGUUGAAUGACUGAACUGAAACGUUGCUAUUGGAUGAUUCGUUCAUUAUAUUGAAAUACAAUGUGUUCAUUGACCGUGCACCGUGCACAAAACUGCAUAAACGUGAACAAAAAGAUAGAACAAAGACUUCAGCGGAGUUUCCAAACCAUGUUUUGAAAGACUAUGGAAACCAAUCAGAUUUCCCGUCCACCAGAUGGACGGGAAUCCCACGGUUUAGAUAGCUUUUGUGUCAGGCCCUAUUCUAAAUUAGGGACUGAAUUUCAGGUUAAUUAACUUAUAACAUACUAUUGGCGACUUGACGAAAGUACAAUACCCACUUGAUCAUGAAGCGACCGUACCAUUUCUGCAUAAACCAAGACAAAAACAUAGAUAAUGAGGUUUAUUUAAUUUAUUCUCAUCGAGUUUCCUAACCAUCUUCUUCUGCUGACUAUGAUCAUAAGAUAUCGUUUUGUAGAACUCCUACAAUAAUAUUUAAACUUUGCCACACUACCGCUGGAGAUUCUGAUAUUCUCAGGUAAAUUGUUCCAAGGGUAAACUAUUCGAUUAAAAAAGUUGCCUUAAACGAAAAUCAAUAUUACCGCUAUAUACAAGCCACAUUUCAUCUUAUAAAAGGUGGUUAAGUCCUUUAUUCCUUGUCCAUGCAACAAAAGAAGAUCAAGUCGUCGGAGUCGUUCCUUGUAUUCUAGUUCUGGCAUUAAAAUACGUGUUGCACGUCGUUGAAACCGUUCAAUUAACUUGAUCAACAUUUUUAUUUUACUCGCUCUAAUGCUUUCUAUCACUCAUUCACUGAUCGAGCUUCAAACUCUUUAUCUUGUUUUGAAAAUGUCUUGCUCAAGAAUUACCUUCUCAUCAUAACCAAUUUGCAUUUUAGAUUAUUCAUUGCAAAUGAAUUGUAAGCUCCUGUUAUUUACCAUCCUGCUCAUCACUUCAAUCAAUCGAGCUGGAUCUGGUCCUAUUACCUGCUAUGCUUGUAUGGAAUCAACGACUACAUAUUGUGCAACAGCAGUAUUAAGCGGUAGGAGAGGGCCGGAUUGCAAAAAAUUUCGAGUAAUUGCGAUAUGAAAUAUUCAAAGCUAUCCGCUACAUAUGUUUGCACAUAUUUACCACGCGUCUUCACCAAAAAUUUGAAAUCGAUACUGCUGUUCGUUCACGAGUUCGGGAGAUUUGAAUAAGAUAACCGCUGACAUCAGCAUUGUUUUAAUUGUCUUUAAAAGCUACAUUUUAUUAGCCUUUCUCACGCUAUACCACCAGGCCUUAAAAUCCGCCAUUUUGGGUGGUAAAAGCAUUGUUUUUGACGAUUUCUUUUUCAAAACAUAAAAGCUAUAAUGUUUUGCUUGUAUACAAUUGUUUGUCACUUAGUUCUCUCAUAGUUGUUGAAAGUUUGGAUUAAAUUCCAAAAUUUUAAAUACUCGCCGAAAAUAUGCAUUUUUUCAUCGCGUAUUUUCUUGGCGAAAUUUAAAAAUUUGGUGCUGAAAUUAACACACAUAGUUAGCGACAAUCACAAAUAAUUUACUGAUAAGAAAUACGAUAAAUUUGCAUGGUUUAAACUUUUUUUUGACAAAACAAAACCUGCCCAAUUCAAUCAUUUUACCACCCAAAAAUGGCGGAUUGACCCUAAAUUUAACCAUUCAGCACUAUUUUCCCAAAGUACAUUGGAAAUGUUGUUUGUGUGAUGUUACUCUGAGUGUAUAUCCACACCGGGCAGGCUUGAAAAAUAUGCCUGGCCACGGCGGGAUUCGAACCUACGACCUUUGGAAUACUAGCCCAAUGCUCUUCCAACUGAGCUACGCGGUCAGGACGGUUCGAGUAUGCGAUAUUUCGGAAUUGAGUCUAGUUCCUUCGAUAUCAGUGUAAUCUAAUAAUCAUGAAAUCUGCUGUGCUGGUGGAAUGUACUCAGGUGAAUAAGAUGUUUGUGUGAUGUUACUCUGAGUGUAUAUCCACACCGGGCAGGCUUGAAAAAUAUGCCUGGCCACGGCGGGAUUCGAACCUACGACCUUUGGAAUACCAGCCCAAUGCUCUUCCAACUGAGCUACGCGGUCAGGACGGUUCGAGUAAGCGAUAUUUUGGAACUGAGUCUAGUUCCUUCGAUAUCAGUGUAAUCUAAUAUUUAUGAAAUCUGCUGUGUUGGUGUAAUGUACUCAGGUGAAUAAGAUGUUUGUGUGAUGUUACUCUGAGUGUAUAUCCACACCGGGCAGGCUUGAAAAAAUAUUAGAUUAAAUAUUUCAUAAAUAUUAGAUUACACUGAUAUCGAAGGAACUAGACUCAGUUCCGAAAUAUCGCUUACUCGAACCGUCCUGACCGCGUAGCUCAGUUGGAAGAGCAUUGGGCUAGUAUUCCAAAGGUCGUAGGUUCGAAUCCCGCCGUGGCCAGGCAUAUUUUUCAAGCCUGCCCGGUGUGGAUAUACACUCAGAGUAACAUCACACAAACAUCUUAUUCACCUGAGUACAUUACACCAACACAGCAGAUUACAUUGGAAAUGUUUAUUAGAAGAUUUAUUGGUUCAUUUUUGUAUUGAACAAGCUAUUAUAACAAAUGGAACAAAAUGACACUUAAAAAGGUUCUUUAGCAGCAAAAAUGAGCAUAGAAAGUUAAUGGAUUGUUCCAGAAAUGUCCAAAUAGGUUUAAAAUGUUCGUAGGACGUAUAGUUGUAUUUAACAGGAUCUCAUAAAUUAAAAUAGGAUCAUCAAAGAGGAUAACUAAGUGAAACGUAGUAUCACUUUUCAGCCGCACACUGCUCUGCUUGGGGUUGGUGUCCUCCACUUUGGUUUAAUUGUGUUAUGGCCGUCAUUGGAACAGCGUGUGGCGUGGCUUAUAUUGGCUGUGCAGUGGUCUGCAUGGCUCCUACUGUUUAAAUCAUGAUGGUCAAUAUAAUGUUGCUGAUUUACAAGGAUUACCCUCGUUAUAAUUUUGUAAACUUUGUUAUUGUAUUCUACAAAUAUACUUCGCAUUUUUAUUGUUACCCGAGCUUUACUGUAUUUGCCUAGAGUCAACAAUGUGCCUUUAACUAAUGCCAAUAUUUGGUUAUAUAUCUAAUAGUACUAUGAACAGAUAAACUUAUUGGUUAUAAGGUUAUAUAUUAACCAAAGUUAAUAGCUAGUCAGCCAGAAAAUUGAGUCCCUGGUCGAGAUGUGUGAUGCAUGUUUUUGUCCAACUAUAACGUGACGUUUCCGCAGAUAGUACGGUUUUAUGUCGUUUGCAUCUAACGACAUUGCGUGUGUUUGCGUGAGUCGCAGGCUUAAAGCCAGUCGCGUGCUGGCAAGGGGGGCUGGGGGGCCACGGCCUCCCCAGCUGGCAAUUUUUGGGGGGCGCAAAAAUGAAAAGGGGGCGCCGAUCCUGCGCCGAAUUUUGAAAGUGGGUGGGAAAAGGUUGAAAAAAUAUAGUUACUUCCACCAAGAAAAAAUGUGUUUAUAGGCUUAUAAACAGACUGAGCGCAUAGGCGACAAAGUGAUAUAUUAAAUUACAGACUAUUUUGUCUAACCAGCCAGUAUUGGUACCUCACACGAAAUCGUUCAUAUAGAAACAUGAUCAGUGAUCACACGCAAUGUCGCAUUACCGGAAUAUUGGCCAGGUUUCGAAGCGAUCACGGGAAUUAUGCCCUUUUUUGCUUGUAUUAUGCCCUUAUAUUAUGCCUUUAUAUUGCUUCACGAAUCACGAGAGCGGC